rnacentral:rRNA from 1 species
AGGUUCAUCCUGCCCAGUGACACACGUGUUCAACGGCCGCGGUACUCUGACCGUGCAAAGGUAGCAUAAUCACUCGCCUUUUAAUUGGAGGCUGGUAUGAAUGGAUAAACGAGGGUCCAGCUGUCUCUUUUACUUCCGUAAAAAUUAACCCUCAGGUGAAGAUGCCUGAAUUUUCAUGAAAGACAAGAAGACCCUAUUGAGCUUUACUUAACCUAAAUAUUUUAUACUUCUCCCGGAAAGAUCAAUAUUUAGGAAAAGUUUUGUUGGGGCGACAAAGGAAUAAAUAUUUCUUCCUUCACACCUAAGACACCUAGUCUCCUAAAUGACCCUAUAAUGAUCAACGGAACCAGCUACCAUAGGGAUAACAGGCUAAUCCCCCUCGAGAGCCCUGAUUGACAGGGGGGAUUGGCACCUCGAUGUUGGCUUGGGGUAUCCCCCAUGUGCAGAAGCA